rnacentral:hammerhead_ribozyme from 1 species
GCACUGCUGAGGAGUCCCACAACAGGACGAAACGAUCCUCCAGUGC